rnacentral:rRNA from 1 species
UCCACGGGGGGCAGCAGUGGGGAAUAUUGGACAAUGGGCGCAAGCCUGAUCCAGCAAUGCCGCGUGUGUGAAGAAGGUCUUCGGAUCGUAAAGCACUUCCGACAGGGACGAUGAUGACGGUACCUGUAGAAGAAGCCCCGGCUAACUUCGUGCCAGCAGCCGCGGUAAUACGAAGGGGGCUAGCGUUACUCGGAAUUACUGGGCGUAAAGGGCGCGUAGGCGGCUUGGCCAGUCAGGCGUGAAAUUCCUGGGCUUAACCUGGGGACUGCGCUUGAUACUGCCAGGCUUGAGGCCGAGAGAGGGUGGUGGAAUUCCCAGUGUAGAGGUGAAAUUCGUAGAUAUUGGGAAGAACACCGGUGGCGAAGGCGACCACCUGGCUCGGUACUGACGCUGAGGCGCGACAGCGUGGGGAGCAAACAGGAUUAGAUACCCUGGUAGU